rnacentral:rRNA from 1 species
GAUGAACGCUGGCGGUGUGCCUAAUACAUGCAAGUCGAGCGAACAGACGAGGAGCUUACUCCUCUGGCGUUAGCGGCGGACGGGUGAGUAACACGUGGAUAACCUACCUAUAAGACUGGGAUAACUUCGGGAAACCGGAGCUAAUACCGGAUAACAUGUUGAACCGCAUGGUUCAACAGUGAAAGACGGUCUUGCUGUCACUUAUAGAUGGAUCCGCGUCGCAUUAGCUAGUUGGUAAGGUAACGGCUUACCAAGGCAACGAUGCGUAGCCGACCUGAGAGGGUGAUCGGCCACACUGGAACUGAGACACGGUCCAGACUCCUACGGGAGGCAGCAGUAGGGAAUCUUCCGCAAUGGGCGAAAGCCUGACGGGGCAACGCCGCGUGAGUGAAGAAGGUCUUCGGAUCGUAAAACUCUGUUAUUAGGGAAGAACAAAUGUGUAAGUAACUAUGCACGUCUUGACGGUACCUAAUCAGAAAGCCACGGCUAACUACGUG